rnacentral:rRNA from 1 species
GAUGAACGCUGGCGGCGUGCCUAAUACAUGCAAGUCGAGCGAACGGACGAGAAGCUUGCUUCUCUGAUGUUAGCGGCGGACGGGUGAGUAACACGUGGAUAACCUACCUAUAAGACUGGGAUAACUUCGGGAAACCGGAGCUAAUACCGGAUAAUAUUUUGAACCGCAUGGUUCAAAAGUGAAAGACGGUCUUGCUGUCACUUAUAGAUGGAUCCGCGCUGCAUUAGCUAGUUGGUAAGGUAACGGCUUACCAAGGCAACGAUGCAUAGCCGACCUGAGAGGGUGAGCGGGCACACUGGAACUGGGACACGGUCCAGACUCCUACGGGAGGCAGCAGUAGGGAAUCUUGCGCAAUGGGCGAAAGACUGACGGAGCAACGGCGAGUGAGUGAUGAAGGUCCUCGGAUCGUAAAACUCUGUUAUUAGGGAUGAACAUAUGUGUAAGUAACUGUGCAGAUCUUGACGGUACCUAAUCAGAAAGCCACGGCUAACUACGUG